rnacentral:lncRNA from 1 species
CCGCGGCCAAACUGCUUCCAGGUCUGGCCUCUUAAAGCCGGGCUCCCUCUUCCGCUCCGGAAGCCCCGCGCCCCGCGCCCCACGCCUCUCCGCGCUGCUCCUUCCGGACUCUGACCCUCCCGGGAAGCUGAGCCGCUGGCACUCGCUGCUGGCCACUUCGGGACCUGCCUCAGGCUUCCUCCGUGAAACUGUCUCAGAAUGA